GCUUUAGGAAGCGGAAGACUAAUGACCGAAGCUUCAAGACUUUGACAUGUGUGAAAACAUGAAAUGACCCUUGGCUCUUAUUGUUCUUGCUGGUGUGGUAUGUUCACGGCUGAAAAGAUGGUCAGAAGGGGAAAGGAGGAAGUGAGAAGAAAGAAACAGGGAAAUGCAGGCUGAGGAAUUACCAAGGAGGCAGGAGGUGGAGCAAAACACACCAAGCCUGGUGCCAAUCAUUGACAAUAUUAUGACCCUGCAUGUGAUGGAUCAGCUGACACCAUCCAGAUCGGUAAACUGGUUCAUCUGAUCUUGUGCCCUCCACCCAGGAACUGACUCAGCGCAAGAAGACAGCUUCGACUCCUUGUGAUUUCAUCCCUAACCAAUCAGCACUCCUGGCUCACUGGCUUCCCCCAACCCACCAAAUUGUCCUUAAAAACUCUGCUCUCCAAACGCUGGGGGAGACUGAUUUGAGUAAUAAUAAAACCCUGGUCUCCUGCACA
rnacentral:lncRNA from 10 species